rnacentral:tRNA from 1 species
AGGUAGGGUCAGCUAAACAAGCUAUCGGGCCCAUACCCCGAAAAUGUCAAUAUCGACCCCUACCA